UACGUAGGCAGCAAGCGUUGUUCGGAGUUACUGGGCGUAAAGGGCUCGUAGGCGGCCAACUAAGUCAGACGUGAAAUCCCUCGGCCUAACCGGGGAACUGCGUCUGAUACUGGAUGGCUUGAGUUCGGGAGAGGGAUGCGGAAUUCCAGGUGUAGCGGUGAAAUGCGUAGAUAUCUGGAGGAACACCGGUGGCGAAGGCGGCAUCCUGGACCGACACUGACGCUGAGGAGCGAAAGCCAGGGGAGCAAACGGG
rnacentral:rRNA from 1 species